CGGGGUACAGAGGAAAUAUCAGCAUGCUUUGCUGCACUCUCUCUUUUGAUGGGACGUCUUUCAGAAGUAGAAGGCCGGCGUGGUGUGGUAACAUUGACUUGCUUCUGUGCAUGAUCUCGGGUGACUGGGCGUCUCUCAGCAGUGGAAGGUCGUCGUGGGGUGGAAACAACAGCAGGGGUCUUUGAAUUUGCCUUCGCAAUGGGGUGCUGCUCUCCAGUAGAGGGCCGUUGCGCACCUGCUGAGGAAGGUCUUCUGAGACCUGUAAGCUUGCUCCUUUCUGGAGUGCCAGCCAUCUUCUGGGGUGCUGCAUUUGGCCUUUGCACCGGCUUAGUCUUCUGGUUCAUACUUGUACUGGGCUUCACUGAACCAGGCCUCUGAAAUGAUUCAUGUAAGUGUUAUGAAUUUACCAAAAAAUUCAUGUUGGUGGGCAUAUAAAAGCAAAACAUGCACUCAUCUAGGUAGUUGGCUACAAUUCAGCGUAGAGGAACAGAAAUGUUGAAAGAAGGUAUGCCAAAUCAAAACAAACUGCACCUACAUUGCUAGUAUGUAAUGUCAUACCUCAGAAGUUUAUAAUUUGGUAGUAGAUGGCAACAAAGUUUUCUAUAAGACAAACGAAUACAGAACCAAAAUCUGUGCUAUUACCUCACUAGCAAAUGUGUAAUCCAUAGCACUUUUCGAAAGGUUUCUGAUGGAUUUUGGUAUCAUCUUUGGAGUAUGUCUGAGCCUGGAAUCUUUCUCAAUGGUUCUUCUGGGAGUCCUCGUAGCUUCAUAUGCUGUUCUAUUAUCAUCAUGACCAGAACUCGUGUUCUGUUGCCCCACAUCCAUUUUGC
rnacentral:lncRNA from 1 species